rnacentral:lncRNA from 1 species
ACGUUGGGCUCGUAGUACAUGCAAGUUAAGAAGGUUCUUUUGCACAGAGUUAGGCAUACAUAUCACAACUACUGGAAAUCCUCCCAAACUGAGCCUCAAAGUCCACAGAAAGGCUUUGACAUCAACCCACAUCCCUUGGGUUUGUGUAAUUUCAAAAGCAGCCUUCCAAAUCUGUUCUGCAUUUUUCUACCUGCCACUUGUAUCUCAAACAUUUUCCUACUUGGCAGCACUACCUUGGCUCCCUCCACACAGACUGUUGAGGAGGCUGGAAUGUGUGUGAAGGAGUAGAAGGAGAUGCAGACAGAUGAAAGACUAGUGAGCCAUUCCUGGCUUCUGUAAAAGCGCUCCUAGCUUUCUGCCAUGUUUAUACAAGAUUCCACUGAGCGCUAAUCUUGGAUCAUCUAUCAUAAGAUUGGAACAUUUUAAAUACUUAAAGUUUUAUUAAGAGAUCAAAUAUCAGAGUUUUGAUUGUAUUUAGAGUAUUUGCUUUGAGAGUGAAUACCAUGGAGAAGGCAAGACAUGGGUAGAGCUAGCCUUGAGGAUGUGCAAAAAACAGAGGACAAUGAACCUACUCUGCAAAAGAAGAGUUGUCAAAGAGGGCGGGGAUCAGGCCUGUGGGUGUGCAUGCUCCUGCUUCAUUUUAGAAUGGAGUCUCUAGUUCUCAGCUAUGGAUUCUUCCUUAGGGACUGUCACUGAUUAUUCGAGGGCUGUGGGCUCUGUUUUUCUUACCUUAGAACACUCAGAACUCAGUCACCAUGGUAUUUUGG